UUUGAUGAUUGCAUAUGAAUUACAUCUCAAAUCUUUUAAUUGCAGCAGAAAAAUAUUUAGAGUCCCCUGCAGCCACUGAGGGGGACUCUAAAAUCUGAACUCCUUUGCUCAACAGCUCACACACCCCGGGGGCAUAAUUUGGGAACCCGGCAGUGUGAAGGAGCCUUUGUCCUGAUAAGCACUGCCAGUCUCAGGGGAUGCCAGGGCUGUCGGCACUGGACACAGCAAUACUCCGUGGCCAGCCCUGUUCUAACAGGCACUGCCCAAAGAAGCAAAAGCGACCACCAGGUGUCUGCUUUACUCUGACUGCCUUGCCAACCUGCAGGGAGAGCAAGGGUGCAGGGUCCACUCAAAACCUCCCACACACCCAUUUCUUGGCUCUGUAUCUUCAGUAUGAAUUUCCACAGCUGUGUUAAAUACUCCAUUGCCCCUACUCUGGGCCAGGCCUUAAGCUGGGUGUUGGGCUGACACAAAGGCCGUUCACCAGUUAUGAGCUACGUAACUGCCCAUCUCAGUCUCUGACAGCAGCCCCUUCCUUAUGGCACCAGGCCUGGAGGCCCAUGAGGAGGAGAGAGAUGAGUCAGAUAAGGUGGGAAGGAGACCAAAGGAGACCCCAAGAACACCCCCACACCUGGCUGACCAGGCCCCUUGCACUGCAGAGGAGGCAGACACAGCUGGAAGGAACAGGAUUUAUGUUGCAUACUUGAACUACAGCGAGUGUAAGACUGGUCCUAUUUACAGGGCAGAAACACUGCAGGUGGAGCGCGGGGGUGGCAGGGUGGGCACCAGAGUCCUGGCCAAGGGUACCCUUGCCUGCCAUCUUCCCCACCUCUCCCAGAUGCAUCUCUGAGGCCCC
rnacentral:lncRNA from 1 species